UACGUAGGGUGCAAGCGUUGUCCGGAAUCACUGGGCGUAAAGGGUGCGUAGGCGGGUCUUUAAGUCAGGGGUGAAAUCCUGGAGCUCAACUCCAGAACUGCCUUUGAUACUGAAGAUCUUGAGUUCGGGAGAGGUGAGUGGAACUGCGAGUGUAGAGGUGAAAUUCGUAGAUAUUCGCAAGAACACCAGUGGCGAAGGCGGCUCACUGGCCCGAUACUGACGCUGAGGCACGAAAGCGUGGGGAGCAAACAGGGA
rnacentral:rRNA from 1 species